GUGCGAGUGUGGCGGAGAGAAAGAUCUCAGGUUUUUGGAUGGAGAAGAAGCGAGGCCAGUGCGACGCUCGCUAUGUGCUCGACGUAAGGUACGCUAGCUGAUCACGUGAGGCGGAGUUCAAGAGCCGAGUUGAUCUCAAGAUGAUGAAAUGAUGAACUACUCCGACAAACGAUGUUGACGAAUCGACCUAAUGAGAGAUGGACCUAUCAAGUGCCGAGAUGAAUAUGGUCACCAAGUGGUCAUCAAUUAACAACAC